rnacentral:lncRNA from 1 species
GAGGAACACAGCAGUGCCUAAGUUUUCUCUGAGAUUCAUGAGUCAGAAAUGGGAGCCCUCCCCUAGGACUGGUAACUGGCGCACCAUGAAUCUGCUUCACAUAUAACACCUGCCAGGUGUCCUUCAAAAAUGUCAUGUGCUCAUAAACACUUCAAAUUCUCAGUGGUUCUUUCUGAAUUAUAAACUCCAUGAAGACCCAAUUCCAUCAGCAGCCAUUGGAAGUUUUUGACAAAAUGGGAAGAUCACUGCUGUAUAUUUGUAGUUUAAAUAGCGAGCAUUUAAAGCUUUCUCUGAGGCAGUUUCUGGAAAGUUAAAGACUAAUGAGAAAAACAGCUGAAGAAACUCUCCCCAAUGAGUUUAUGUCCCUAAGCGAUGAAUUUUUGAAUGGUGCAAUGUUCUAACAUGUGAUGGACAGCGAAUUCCCAGAGAAUCAUCAAGUACACUUUGGAAUAAAUGAACAGCAGGACAUAUUUUUUAAGGAGUGCUGAGCCGCAGUAAAACUCCAGAGAAUGCUCUAAUUUCUUGAUUUAUUUCCUGGAUUUCCUCCUAAUAAACAAAGAAUGAUGAAAGCAAAUAUGCAAGGGCCAAGUUUCUACGGUCCAGCAAUCACAGAAUCAUUAAUGCUGUGAUGCUUCCAAGAAUAUGGGCAAACAGCAAGAGAAAGAAACUAGUAAACUUUGAAGAAAUCCCUUUGAGAAAAUUUUUAAAUGAUCCAGGAUAAAUAGAAAAUAAUGUGCUGCUGUUCAGAUAAAUUUACUGGAGAAACCACAAAGAUGAGAUUGUUAAGGAAGAGUCAAGGGAUGGGGACUAUAAAAUGCAUAUGCUUCUCCAGAUAACACUGAGUUUUCAGAGUGGCAACCAACAUUGCAGCUUUGAAAAGAAAAAAAAACACUUGGAAAGUGAAAAAGAAAGAGGGGAAAUUAUAUGUACAAUUAUCAGAAAAGCAACAUCUGAGAAUUCAGCAAUCACUAGCACAUAUGUGUGUUCUGUUUCGUUUAAACUCAGCUUCUCACCCUUGCUCAGGAUGCCCUCAGUGAACUGCCUGUGGGUCUUUCUGUUGUUGCACAGCCCCUCUUGAUGUCUUCCUAGUUGGAAAUGCACACUGUCUGCAAGAUUCCAGGCAGAUGCUUUCUCCUGCACAAGUAUUUCCCUGACCUCUACCUGGAAGCAAUUUCUCCUACUUCCUGAAACCCAGAGGAGAGUAUCUCUACUUCUCUAAUUAACAAAACUGCUUCCCCACCCACCAUGGUUACAUACCGAGAUAUAGAAGAACCAGGUGAGCAGUGAGGGUUGAAGGCAGAGAUGACAGCCACUGAGCAAACAAUCCUACAGGGAAUCCAGAGAAUGGAUAAACCUAUGAGGGAAAGUGAAGUGGGAGAAGAGUUAGUGUUCUGGAAACCCGGGGUGUGACAGUAAGCAAGUGAAGAACAUUAAAAGGGGAAGGAGUAAGGAGGAGAGGAGAGGUGUGAAAUGGUCACUUGGCCUUACCUCUUGUCCUGUGCACAGUUUGCUUUACUGCAUUUUUAGCCCAGUGCUGCAUGACCUGCCAGUGUAAGGACCAGAAAAUCCAAGGGUCUCACCUGGAGACCUCUUGGGAUCACCUG